UGAGGAAUAUUGGACAAUGGAGGCAACUCUGAUCCAGCCAUGCCGCGUGAAGGACUAAGGCCCUAUGGGCUGUAAACUUCUUUAGACGCAGAGCAAUAAGGGCCACGUGUGGUCCGAUGAGAGUAUGCGUAGAAUAAGCACCGGCUAAUUCCGUGCCAGCAGCCGCGGUAAUACGGAAGGUCCGGGCGUUAUCCGGAUUUAUUGGGUUUAAAGGGAGCGCAGGCCGCCGGGCAAGCGUGUUGUGAAAUGCAGUCGCUCAACGUCUGCACUGCAGCGCGAACUGCCCAGCUUGAGUGCGCGCAACGUUGGCGGAAUUCGCC
rnacentral:rRNA from 1 species